UCCUACGGGGCGCAGCAGUAGGGAAUCUUCCACAAUGGACGAAAGUCUGAUGGAGCAACGCCGCGUGAGUGAAGAAGGGUUUCGGCUCGUAAAGCUCCGUUGGUAGUGAAGAAAGAUAGAGGUAGUAACUGGCCUUUAUUUGACGGUAAUUACUUAGAAAGUCACGGCUAACUACGUGCCAGCAGCCGCGGUAAUACGUAGGUGGCAAGCGUUGUCCGGAUUUAUUGGGCGUAAAGCGAGUUCAGGCGGUUCUAUUAGUCUUUUGUGAAAACCUU
rnacentral:rRNA from 1 species